CGCGUAGGCGGACCUUCAAGUCGGAUGUGAAACCCGGCGGCUCAACUGCCGGCCUGCAUACGAUACUGUUGGUCUUGAGUACAUGAGAGGAAAGCGGAAUUCCAGGUGUAGCGGUGAAAUGCGUAGAUAUCUGGAAGAACACCAGUAGCGAAGGCGGCUUUCUGGCGUGAUACUGACGCUCAAGCGCGAAGGCUAGGGGAGCAAACAGGAUUAGAUACCCUGGUAGUCC
rnacentral:rRNA from 1 species